rnacentral:rRNA from 1 species
GGCUCAGGAUGAUUUUCUAGCUACAGGCUUAACACAUGCAAGUCGAGGGGAAACGGCAUUGAGUGCUUGCACUCUUUGGACGUCGACCGGCGCACGGGUGAGUAACGCGUAUCCAACCUUCCCAUUACUGUGGGAUAACCUGCCGAAAGGCAGACUAAUACCUGCAUAGUCUUCGAUGACGGCAUCAGAUUUGAAGUAAAGAUUUAUCGGUAAUGGAUGGGGAUGCGUCUGAUUAGCUUGUUGGCGGGGUAACGGCCCACCAAGGCUACGAUCAGUAGGGGUUCUGAGAGGAAGGUCCCCCACAUUGGAACUGAGACACGGCCCAAACUCCUACGGGAGGCAGCAAUCGAAUUCCCGCUUGCCACA